rnacentral:rRNA from 1 species
CUGUAUCCCUUCGGGGAUGCAAGCACCGGCGGACGGCUCAGUAACACGUGGACAACCUCGCCCUCGGGUGGGGGAUAACCCCGGGAAACUGGGGCUAAUCCCCCAUAGGUGAUGGGUGCUGGAAUGCCCCAUCACCGAAAGCGCUCAGCGCCCGAGGAUGGGUCUGCGGCGGAUUAGGUAGUUGGCGGGGUAACGGCCCGCCAAGCCGAAGAUCCGUACGGGCCAUGAGAGUGGGAGCCCGGAGAUGGACCCUGAGACACGGGUCCAGGCCCUACGGGGCGCAGCAGGCGCGAAACCUCCGCAAUGCGGGAAACCGCGACGGGGCUAGCCGGAGUGCCGAUGCCUCGCAUCGGCUGUCGGGGAGCCUAAAAAGCUCCCCACAGCAAGGGCCGGGCAAGGCCGGUGGCAGCCGCCGCGGUAAUACCGGCGGCCCGAGUGGCGGCCACUAUUAUUGGGCCUAAAGCGUCCGUAGCCGGUCUGGCAAGUCCCCCGGGAAAUCUGGCGGCUUAACCGUCAGGCUGCCGGGGGAUACUGCCAGACUAGGGACCGGGAGAGGCCGGGGGUAUUCCCGGGGUAGGGGUGAAAUCCUGUAAUCCCGGGAGGACCACCUGUGGCGAAGGCGCCCGGCUGGAACGGGUCCGACGGUGAGGGACGAAGGCCUGGGGAGCGAACCGGAUUAGAUACCCGGGUAGUCCAGGCUGUAAACGAUGCGGGCUAGGUGUCGCGACAGCCACGAGCUGUCGCGGUGCCGGAGGGAAGCCGUUAAGCCCGCCGCCUGGGAAGUACGGCCGCAAGGCUGAAACUUAAAGGAAUUGGCGGGGGAGCA